UACGAAGGUCCCGAGCGUUGUUCGGAAUCACUGGGCGUAAAGGGAGCGUAGGCGGUGCGGUAAGUCAGAUGUGAAAUCCCGGGGCUCAACCCCGGAACUGCAUCCGAUACUGCCGUGCUAGAGGAUUGGAGAGGUAGCUGGAAUUCACGGUGUAGCAGUGAAAUGCGUGGAUAUCGUGAGGAACACUCGUGGCGAAAGCGAGCUACUGGACAACUCCUGACGCUGAGGCUCGAAGGCCAGGGGAGCGAAAGGG
rnacentral:rRNA from 1 species